UCUUAUUCCGAGCAUUCCGGUAACUUUUUUGUGUAUGUACUUAGCUGUGCUAUAAGUAGUUGGUUUGCAUGAGAUGGUUAAAAA
rfam:Pongo abelii chromosome 3.